CUGCAUGGUUGUCGUCAGCUCGUGCCGUGAGGUGUCGGCUUAAGUGCCAUAACGAGCGCAACCUCAUCAUUAGUUACCAUCAGGUAAGGCUGGGGACUCCUAAUGAGACUGCCAUCGUAAGAUGUGAGGAAGGUGGGGAUGACGUCAAAUCAGCACGGCCCUUACGUCCGGGGCGACACACGUGUUACAAUGGGUGGUACAAAGGGCAGCUACCUGGCGACAGGAUGCUAAUCUCCAAAACCACUCUCAGUUCGGAUCGGAGUCUGCAACUCGACUCCGUGAAGCUGGAUUCGCUAGUAAUCGCGCAUCAGCCACGGCGCGGUGAAUACGUUCCCGGGCCUU
rnacentral:rRNA from 1 species